UGACCAGAACGGAUGAUCGCCGGCGCGAUGCGCGGGAGGAAAGUCCGAGCUCCGCAGGGCAUGGUGCUGGUUAACGGCCAGUCGGGGUGACUCGAAGGAAAGUGCCACAGAGAGCAGACCGCCGUGUUACGGCGCGGUAAGGGUGAAAGGGUGCGGUAAGAGCGCACCGGGGGCAUGGUGACAUGCCCCGCAUGGUAAACCCCACUUGGAGCAAGACCGUUUCGAGGUACUUCGCAUCGACGAAGUCCGGGUGCCCGUCCGGUAGCCUCGGGUCAGGUCGCUAAAGGGGCGUGGUAACACGUCGCCGUAGAUGAAUGACCAUCCCCCACGUUCGGGCGACCGGCGUGGGUGACAGAACUCGGCUUAUGGGCUGGUCGGAGA
rnacentral:RNase_P_RNA from 1 species